rnacentral:misc_RNA from 1 species
GAUGAAGAACGUAGCGAAAUGCGAUACUUGGUGUGAAUUGCAGAAUCCCGUGAACCAUCGAGUCUUUGAACGCAAGUUGCGCCCGAAGCCAUUAGGCCGAGGGCACGCCUGCCUGGGCGUCACACGUCGUUGCCCCCCCAUCUACUCCUUCGGGGUUGCGGGGGGCGGAUGAUGGCCUCUCGUGCGCCUCGUCGCGCGGUUGGCCUAAAUGCCAAGUCCUCGGCGACGCACGCCACGACAAUCGGUGGUUGCGAAACCUCGGUUGCCUGUCGUGUGCGGUCGUCGCGCAUCGAGGGCUCGAAAAAAUUGCCGGGCUUCGGCUCGACUUUCAACGCGACCCCAGGUCAGGCGGGGUUACCCGCUGAAUUUAAGCAUAUCAAUAAGCGGAGGA